UACAGAGGUCUCAAGCGUUGUUCGGAUUCAUUGGGCGUAAAGGGUGCGUAGGCGGCGUGGUAAGUCGGGUGUGAAAUCUCGGAGCUUAACUCCGAAACUGCAUUCGAUACUGCCGUGCUUGAGGACUGGAGAGGAGACUGGAAUUUACGGUGUAGCGGUGAAAUGCGUAGAUAUCGUAAGGAAGACCAGUGGCGAAGGCGGGUCUCUGGACAGUUCCUGACACUGAGGCACGAAGGCCAGGGGGAGCAAACGGG
rnacentral:rRNA from 1 species